rnacentral:rRNA from 1 species
UACGUAGGGAGCAAGCGUUGUCCGGAAUCAUUGGGCGUAAAGCGCGUGUAGGCGGCUUGGUAAGUCUGCUCUGAAAGCCCGGGGCUCAACCCCGGGAGGCGGGUGGAUACUGCCCGAGCUCGAGUCCGGAAGAGGCGAGUGGAAUUCCUGGUGUAGCGGUGAAAUGCGCAGAUAUCAGGAGGAACACCAACGGCGAAGGCAGCUCGCUGGGACGGUACUGACGCUGAGACGCGAAAGCGUGGGGAGCAAACAGG